AACGUUAAAACUAAGUUUAACCCUUAAAUGACUUCUGUCUAUUUCAGUUUACACAACUCAGCAGAGUCUCCAUAACCAUAAACAUAAAGUCCAGCAUAGAGGGGCUGAGUGAAUGUGGUCUGGACU